rnacentral:rRNA from 1 species
UACAGGGGGUGCAAACGUUGCUCGGAAUUAUUGGGCGUAAAGCGCGCGUAGGCGGCCACUUAAGUCGGAUGUGAAAGCCCCUGGCUCAACUGGGGAAGUGCACCCGAAACUGAAUGGCUUGAGUGCGAAAGAGGGUCGCGGAAUUCCCGGUGUAGAGGUGAAAUUCGUAGAUAUCGGGAGGAACACCUGUGGCGAAAGCGGCAUACUGGACCAUAACUGACGCUGAGGCGCGAAAGCUAGGGGAGCAAACAGG